AUUUAAAGAGUGCGUAAUAGCUCACUGGUCGAGUGACUCUGCGCCGAAAAUGUACCGGGGCUAAACGUAUCACCGAAGCUGUGGAUUGACAUCUUUGAUGUCAGUGGUAGGAGAGCGUUCUAAGUGCUGUGAAGUCAGACCGUAAGGACUGGUGGAGCGCUUAGAAGUGAGAAUGCCGGUAUGAGUGGCGUAAGACAAGUGAGAAUCUUGUCCACCGAAUGCC
rnacentral:rRNA from 1 species